AGCAGUGGGGAAUAUUGCACAAUGGGCGCAAGCCUGAUGCAGCCAUGCCGCGUGUGUGAAGAAGGCCUUCGGGUUGUAAAGCACUUUCAGCGGGGAGGAAGGCGGUGAGGUUAAUAACCUCAUCGAUUGACGUUACCCGCAGAAGAAGCAUCGGCUAACUCCGUGCCAGCAGCCGCGGUAAUACGGAGGGUGCAAGCGUUAAUCGGAAUUACUGGGCGUAAAGCGCACGCAGGCGGUCUGUCAAGUCGGAUGUGAAAUCCCCGGGCUUAACCUGGGAACUGCAUUCGAAACUGGCAGGCUAGAGUCUUGUAGAGGGGGGUAGAAUUCCAGGUGUAGCGGUGAAAUGCGUAGAGAUCUGGAGGAAUACCGGUGGCGAAGGCGGCCCCCUGGACAAAGACUGACGCUCAGGUGCGAAAGC
rnacentral:rRNA from 1 species